AGUGAACGCUGGCGGUAGGCCUAACACAUGCAAGUCGAACGGCAGCACAGUAAGAGCUUGCUCUUACGGGUGGCGAGUGGCGGACGGGUGAGGAAUACAUCGGAAUCUACUUUUUCGUGGGGGAUAACGGAGGGAAACUUACGCUAAUACCGCAUACGACCUACGGGUGAAAGCAGUGGAUCUUCGGACCUUGCGCGUUUGAAUGAGCCGAUGUCGGAUUAGCUAGUUGGCGGGGUAAAGGCCCACCAAGGCGACGAUCCGUAGCUGGUCUGAGAGGAUGAUCAGCCACACUGGAACUGAGACACGGUCCAGACUCCUACGGGAGGCAGCAGUGGGGAAUAUUGGGCAAUGGGCGCAAGCCUGAUCCAGCCAUACCGCGUGGGUGAUGAAGGCCUUCGGGUUGUAAAGCUCUUUUGUUGGGAAAGAAAAGCAGCAGGUUAAUACCCCGCUGUUCUGACGGUACCCAAAGAAUAAGCACCGGCUAACUUCGUG
rnacentral:rRNA from 1 species